rnacentral:lncRNA from 1 species
CGUGCACACUUGCAGCACCCUGUGCACACCUGCAGCACCGUGCACCCUCACGCUCCAUGCAGGAGCCAGCGUGGCCGUGAGGCCAGGCAGCAAGCGAUGCUCAGAGCUGGGACGGCUGCAGCCUCCAUCCCUCCGUGCUACCCCCCAUCCCGCUCACACGAAGGAGGACAAACAAGGCUGCCCAGCACUGUCUUUUCCCAUGUUUUCCUUUAUUAAUUUAUACAAAAAUGGUUGCAAGUGACGCCAGCUGGUAAGAAGCCGCCGGCCGGGGAGGCUGCGGCGAGGGGCAGGCGGGGGAGCGCCGCGCAGCCAGCACCUCGGCGCCGCAUCCCGAACCUUCGCGGGCAGGCGCGGGGCAGYGGCGGCACACACGGCCCGGCUCCCAGCCGGCAGCACGGCCGGGCUCAGGCCGGAGCGUGCCGGGGCGGGAAGGAGGCUCCAGGCUGGGGCCGAGCCCCCAUUGCGGCGCCGCUCCGGGCCGGCAACCUGCAACCGGAGGCUUUCGGGUGCGAGUCGGAGGGCUUUGGGGGAGCAGAGCCGGGAGCACCCCGGGGGCAGGGGCCCUGGAGGAAAGGACGGAGACGGGCAGCUCCAGGGCCGGGGCCAGGAACCCUUCACACCUCCCUCCGCCGCGGCAGGGCCAGAGCUGGCGAUGGGAAGGACGAUUCCUGACGGGACGGAGAGGCGGCAGAGGGAAGGGACGGAGCCAGAGGGGAGACCCAGGCACCCCGGUCGGGGCCGCGGGAGGAGACGAGCCUGCGCGGAGCGGCGCUGCCUGGUCCCGCGCGCAGCCCGGCGGGGCCGGCAGCAUCUCGGUGCGGAGCCGGCGGCCUCGCGCGCCUUCCCGUCCCCGGCGCCCUCUACUUCCUCCGGCAGCCCUUGGCCGCGUCGCCCAUCAUGUCCCAGUACUCGCCGAACUCCAGCUUGGCCUCGUCGGGGUCGCCCAUGCACUCGAUCUUCUCAUCCAGGGGCCCCACGCACUGCGGGGUGGCGGAAGGGGCGUCAGCGGGGCGCAGGGAGCCGGUGGCCCCCCCCCUGCCCGCCCG